UCCAAGGGGGAAUAUGAAUUCAGGAAGGAAUGCUGCCCAAAUCCAUGAUUUCUCAGACGAGGGAAUCCUAACCGGCCAAAUCCUCAGCCAAAUCAGUAACCAGAAUGACUUUCUUUCCCUGUAAGAAUGACAGAACCACCAUAUCUUCUAGAGGAGUUGGUAGCAACAAUGGAUCUAAGCAUUGCCAGGUCGUUCGGAUGCAUCAUUGAACUGUUCCUUUGGAUGCCGAAAAUCUCAUAACCGUUCAGUGAUUAAGAUACCUCCGAGCGCAUUCGGAGGUAGCGGACGAAACUUCACUUCCAACUGUGCCCAAAAUCUCAAAAUCGCCUACACUAACGGUGGUGACUGGUCUCCCCACUAUUCUUGAGUUUUGCAUUUUUCUGUUUGUCCCAUGUUUUUCAAUGACCCGUGACCACCAUCUAGUUUUUUGGUUGAUGAGGGUUGAUUUGGCCUGCCAAUUCUAAAGCACCACGUGGCAUGUCUUAACUAUUAGAUUACACUUCGGUGCCACAUGGGGCAGGUGGAUGGAGUUGAGACGACUUAGGCUGACUUACCUCCGAGCUGAGGAAGAGCGAUAGAUCGCUUCGUGGAAGGGUGGCACACACACCAACUCUGGAUCUCCAGCCCACAGGAACUCUAUCUAUGCCUACUCACAAAACACUAUAUCCCAUGAAUUGGGAAUAUCUCCCCUGUAUAAUAUUAUGUAAAAGAUGAGAUAUUCUCUAUGUGUGAUUGCGAUUAAUGUGGGCAGAGUUCUCGUGGGCAGAAAAUCUGGACUCACACACACCACCUCGAGAGGACAAGCCAAAGACCUCAGAGGCCAGCAUGACUUCCCCAACCUAGGCAGAUGAAGACCUGAGUAGUGAGAAGAACUUCUGGGGUACCAACCUACCGACCAAGUGGCCGAAUGUUCUUAUCCAGAAUGUAGCAUGUCAACUACCCAGUACACAUAUCUCCGGUUCCUGCACAAUUCAAGAAGAUCGUAUUUGGAUCACCGCCAACAUGGAAGAAAGGCACUCCAAAGAUAACAGACCGAUAAGGCAGACUGUUCCCGGGUAUCUCAAACACGGAAUACGGAUCCUGACAUCUAUAAAAAAGGACGUCAGAAGGUACUUGUAAUCUGUUCCAACUAUUCACCUUUUGCUCUUUUUCAUGUUCUCAUCGCUGACUUAAGAAUCCGAGUACCCAAUUCAAGAUUGAGCUC